UCAUCCGCUGGACACCACACAAAGACAAAAGGCCGACCCAAACAGUACAUACACUUGCCCAUGCCUCAGGGUCAAAGGUCAGAUUAUCUUUCAUCUAAUUUUGUAGCUCUGUUCUCUUUGAAAAUGUUUUUGGGUUUUAUAUGAAUAGAGGCCAAAGCAAUUAGUGGCUGUUGGUUUGCAGAAAAACACAUGACAGAGCCAGACAGAUGAAAAAAAAAGGUGUGUUCUUCUAAUGGGGCAUCUGACUGAGAGUUUUUAAGAAAUGAACAAUGUCCGACAUCAACAAUUAAGAUAAGGGCGGAUGGAGCACAUGUUCAUUGUGAUGCUUUGGAAAGCAUGUGGAAGGUAGCUUCACAUGGACUUCAAGGUAUCUUCUCGGAUGAGCUGAGAGAGAGAAACCCUGGUUUGAGCUCAGUGAGCUGCUUUCCUGGAUUCUUCCAGAUCUAAGAAGAACAAUGAAACCAUUCUGAGUUGGAGUCAAAUGCUAGAAG
ensembl:lncRNA